rnacentral:lncRNA from 1 species
CUCCUCAUCAUAUGAUCUUCCUGUCUAUUAUGUUGGCUCAGCUACUCAUAAUCGUCAAGCUUUGCUUCGAGCUAACGCUUUAAAUCCUUUAGACAUAGCCAAAAUCCACUUCCAUGACAUUCCACUUCCUGAAUUUGCCUCACCUCCACCUGACUUUAAUGCCUUGAGCAAAUUCCCAUUACAUCAUCAGCCAUUAUGGGAUGCAUCUUUGCUUCUUCGCAAGUCCAUUGCUUCCUUUUUACGUGACAUCUCCUCAAAAUCGAGACGAGUCAUUGUUGUUCAUGAUUAUUUUAUGUCAUAUAAUGUUCAGGAUGUUUCUUCCUUUCCCAAUGCUGAAUCCUAUAUAUUUAAUUGCAUUUCAGUUAUCACUUUGUACUGUUCUUUAUGCUUAUUUAGUGGAAAGUCUAUCCAACUUGGAGAAGAAUUGCUUAAAAAGCUACCACCCCUUGAAGGAGCUGUGCCUGAUGAAGUCAAGAACUUUAUGGAUUUUCAGAGUCCAUAUGUGGAUAUUAAAUCAGGUGAUAUCCAUAAUACAAGUAAAGUAAUUGAAGGUGAGUUUCUUGAUUUGCUGGCACAAGUAGAAAGUAAACAACAGUGGGCAAUUGGACCAAUUCUGCCUAAUGAAAGUAAUUGUGGAGAGAUUUGUGGAGUGAAAAAAGGAAGGAAAAUCAUUAAUAGAAGAUUUCAAAUUAAUGUAUCCGAAAAAAGGAUUAAUGAGAGCAAAAAAGGGGAUUUUUGAUAUUUUUUGAAAUGGUAGGGAAAAUAAGAAAAUAUGAUAAUAAAUGAUGUGUAGUUAGAUAAUUUUCCAAAAAAUUAUAAUAAGUUGUCAUGCACCACAUAUUCUUAUUCAAUAAUUCAAAAAUAAUAGUACAACAAUUAGUAGUUACAAAUCUGAAAGAUAUGUGAAAUAGAUGGAUUUGCUAGUCAAUCAUCCUCUUACCUUCACACAUUUACCAUAUAACCCCCUGCUUCUUCAAUGAGAAAAAACUCAAUCAGGAGACAUGGAGGAUCCGAUAGAAACACGAAACUCCAAUCUUUCUACUUCCAUGUGUAGCUAUGAGAAUUUACCAAACCAUGAAGUAGCUAUAGUCAUGGUUCCAUUUCCAGCACAAGGCCAUCUCAAUCAACUUCUUCAACUUUCCUGUUUAAUCUCCUCAUCAUAUGAUCUUCCUGUCUAUUAUGUUGGCUCAGCUACUCAUAAUCGUCAAGCUUUGCUUCGAGCUAACGCUUUAAAUCCUUUAGACAUAGCCAAAAUCCACUUCCAUGACAUUCCACUUCCUGAAUUUGCCUCACCUCCACCUGACUUUAAUGCCUUGAGCAAAUUCCCAUUACAUCAUUAGCCAUUAUGGGAUGCAAUUUUGCAUCUUCGCGAGCCCAUGGCUUCCUUUCUACAUGAUAUCUCCUCAAAAUCGAGACGAGUAAUUGUUGUUCAUGAUUCUUUAAUGUCAUAUAUUGUUCAGGAUGUUUCUUCCCUUCCCAAUGCUGAAUCAUAUAUAUUUAAUUGCAUUUCAGCUAUCACUUUGUACUGUUCUUUAUGCUUAUUUAGUGGAAAGUCUAUCCAACUUGGAGAAGAAUUGCUUAAAAAGCUACCGCCCCUUGAAGGAGCGCUGCCUGAUGAAGUCAAGAACUUUAUGGAUUUUCAGAGUCCAUAUAUGGAUAUUAAAUCAGGUGAUAUCCAUAAUACAAGUAAAGUAAUUGAAGGUGAGUUUCUUGAUUUGCUGGCACAAGUAGAAAGUAAACAACAGUGGGCAAUUGGACCAAUUCUGCCUACUAAAUUCUAUAAUAUCUCGAAUAGCAACAAUAUAUGUUUGGAAUGGCUGAACAAACAACCUCCGAGAUCAGUUCUUUAUAUUUCAUUUGGAACAUCAACUACAUUUUCCGAUAGAGAAGUCAUGGAGCUCGCAAUGGGACUUGAACAAAGCAAACAGAAGUUCAUAUGGGUGUUGAGAGAAGCCGAUAGAGGAGGUGCCUUUACCGGGGAAGCUAGAAAAUUUGAGCUUCCAGGGGGGUUUGAGGAAAGGGUAAAAGAAAUAGGCCUAGUGGUAAGAGAAUGGGCACCACAACCCGAAAUCUUGGCUCAUUCUUCCACAGGCGGAUUCAUGAGUCAUUGUGGAUGGAAUUCUUGCAUAGAGAGUAUUACCAUGGGUGUGCCUAUUGCUGCCUGGCCUAUGCACUCUGACCAACCGAGAAAUGGUUUCUNN